UGGUGUGGCUCCCCUAUUUGACAUUUGGACUGUGCUGCAUAGCUAUGGGUUAAGGAGAAAAAGGUCAAAAUCAGAAAAGUAGGGUUGCAGGUUGGAACUGGCAGGGACAGAACAUGCAGACUUAGACAUGCCCUAAGAAAUCAGCCUGACUCCUCAUUGCUUAAGAUCCAAGUGACAAAGUUUAAUAAAUUAGAAACAUAUGUAAUCCUGUGACCUACAUAUCAGAACAAAGCCCCUAAUCUGUUCCGGCUGUCCUACAGUAUGUUGAGGAGUCAACACAUUGUCUUUUCCACUGAUGCCCUGAUCCUAAGUAAGUAGUCAGGCAGAAUCAAUCAGAGUCACCAGCCAAGAGGUGCUGCAGCAGUAAUUCCCAACAACCAAGAGAGACAAGUGGUGGCCGAACUGCCUUCCUAAAACUGAUGUGCUAUUAAAAUUGUGUAAAGAGGAAUGAUGCUACUGUAUAUAGUAAUAAAUGUCAUACAAGCUUAAA